rfam:Picea glauca, whole genome shotgun sequence.
ACAUGCUUACAACAUAGCUUUAAUGCAUCGGAUCCCAUUAGAACUUUGUAGUUAAGCACGCUCAGGCUAGAUUAGUACUGGGAUGGAUGACCGCCCGAGAAGUCCUAGUGUUUUACAUGCA